UACGUAGGGUCCGAGCGUUGUCCGGAAUUAUUGGGCGUAAACGGCUCGUAGGCGGUCCGUCACGUCGGGAGUGAAAACUCGGAGCUCAACUCCGAGCCUGCUUCCGAUACGGGCAGACUAGAGGUAGGCAGGGGAGAGCGGAACUCCUGGUGUAGCGGUGGAAUGCGCAGAUAUCAGGAAGAACACCGGUGGCGAAGGCGGCUCUCUGGGCCUUACCUGACGCUGAGGAGCGAAAGCGUGGGUAGCGAACAGG
rnacentral:rRNA from 1 species